CGAGUCUGCGAUACAGGUAGGUGCAACAUGCCGUCACCUGCCAUGUGUGUGACUGAUGGCAGCACCGAGUCUGCGAUACAGGUAGGUGCAACAUGCCGUCACCUGCCAUGUGUGUGACCGAUGGCAGCACCGAGUCUGCGAUACAGGUAGGUGCAACAUGCUGUCACCUGCCAUGUAUGUGACCGAUGGCAGCACCGAGUCUGCGAUACAGGAAGGUGUUAACUUUAUGUUCUGUAGACUCCCAAAAACGUAUAAAAAUGUAUAACACUUUCCUGAUGGCUAUGUAUGUAACCGCGAGUUUUCCCAUAACUAAUGGUUUUUUUAGAUUAAACGCAUGCCACCUGUGAGGAAUGUGACAAUUCGCCAUAAGACAGUCCGUCUUACAACAUCUUGUAACUAUCGGAUUUCGUUUUGCAUUAAUUAUUCUCCAUCUUAAAUCCAGAGAAGAUUACUUCAAAGCAAGGAAAUAGUAACCUAAUGAACAGUUCGUCUGCAAGCCCUGUAGUGCUACUGGAACGAGGGAAGGGUUGGUACCUAUCGAUUCACCAGUACGCUAUGUUCUGUGUGUGAAGUUCGUACUGGACUGCAACACUGGAAGUUCUGCAUCGACACCUAGUCGCCCCGAAUCAACAACUACAGAUGGUUCGCAAUUCGCCACUGCGGAAUCUUUCAUUGUUGAGACUUUAACUGAGGUAUCUGCUCUAGAUGCAACCUACAUCGUAGGUCCCAGCCUCAACGACAGUCGCAAGCAGCUAUUUGAUGUUCCCAGAGACAGACCUGUUGACACAACUUUAUGCCAUGAAAGCCCGUACUGUGCCACUUCCAGCACCUGGGGCUGAAGGCAACAUACGAGCGACGAGAGGGAGCCCACAAGCUCAUCAGGAAGCUGUUGGCGCUUCCAUUCCUACCAGGACAGCACAUUGGGCAUGCAUUUAUGAAACUUAAGACCGAGCAGAUGCGGGUUCUACCCAGAUGACAAACUUACCACAUACGUUCAGGACCAGUGAAUGGAGAGCCCCCUCUGGAACACCAUUGAGUGGUUCGUCUACCGCAGACCAUUAAAACCAACAAUGACA